rnacentral:misc_RNA from 1 species
GCUACUACCGAUUGAAUGGUUUAGUGAGGACUCCUGAUUGGCGCCGCCGCCCCGGCAACGGAGCAGCGGACUGCCGAAAAGUUGUUCAAACUUGAUCAUUUAGAGGAAGUAAAAGUCGUAACAAGGUUUCUGUAGGUGAACCUGCAGAAGGAUCG